GACGAAGGCUGGUUGCGUGCUUAACACAUGCAAGUCGAACGGAAAGGCCCUGCUUUUGUGGGGUGCUCGAGUGGCGAACGGGUGAGUAACACGUGAGUAACCUGCCCUUGACUUUGGGAUAACUUCAGGAAACUGGGGCUAAUACCGGAUAGGAGCUCCUGCUGCAUGGUGGGGGUUGGAAAGUUUCGGCGGUUGGGGAUGGACUCGCGGCUUAUCAGCUUGUUGGUGGGGUAGUGGCUUACCAAGGCUUUGACGGGUAGCCGGCCUGAGAGGGUGACCGGCCACAUUGGGACUGAGAUACGGCCCAGACUCCUACGGGAGGCAGCAGUGGGGAAUAUUGCACAAUGGGCGGAAGCCUGAUGCAGCAACGCCGCGUGCGGGAUGACGGCCUUCGGGUUGUAAACCGCUUUCGCCUGUGACGAAGCGUGAGUGACGGUAAUGGGUAAAGAAGCACCGGCUAACUACGUGCCAGCAGCCGCGGUGAUACGUAGGGUGCGAGCGUUGUCCGGAUUUAUUGGGCGUAAAGGGCUCGUAGGUGGUUGAUCGCGUCGGAAGUGUAAUCUUGGGGCUUAACCCUGAGCGUGCUUUCGAUACGGGUUGACUUGAGGAAGGUAGGGGGAGAAUGGAAUUCCUGGUGGAGCGGUGGAAUGCGCAGAUAUCAGGAGGAACACCAGUGGCGAAGGCGGUUCUCUGGGCCUUUCCUGACGCUGAGGAGCGAAAGCGUGGGGAGCGAACAGGCUUAGAUACCCUGGUAGUCCACGCUGUAAACGGUGGGUACUAGGUGUGGGGUCCAUUCCACGGGUUCCGUGCCGUAGCUAACGCUUUAAGUACCCCGCCUGGGGAGUACGGCCGCAAGGCUAAAACUCAAAGGAAUUGACGGGGCCCCGCACAAGCGGCGGAGCAUGCGGAUUAAUUCGAUGCAACGCGUAGAACCUUACCUGGGUUUGACAUGGAUCGGGAGUGCUCAGAGAUGGGUGUGCCUCUUUUGGGGUCGGUUCACAGGUGGUGCAUGGCUGUCGUCAGCUCGUGUCGUGAGAUGUUGGGUUAAGUCCCGCAACGAGCGCAACCCUUGUUCACUGUUGCCAGCACGUUAUGGUGGGGACUCAGUGGAGACCGCCGGGGUCAACUCGGAGGAAGGUGGGGAUGACGUCAAGUCAUCAUGCCCCUUAUGUCCAGGGCUUCACGCAUGCUACAAUGGCUGGUACAGAGAGUGGCGAGCCUGUGAGGGUGAGCGAAUCUCGGAAAGCCGGUCUCAGUUCGGAUUGGGGUCUGCAACUCGACCUCAUGAAGUCGGAGUCGCUAGUAAUCGCAGAUCAGCAACGCUGCGGUGAAUACGUUCCCGGG
rnacentral:rRNA from 1 species